UACGAAGGGGGCUAGCGUUGUUCGGAAUCACUGGGCGUAAAGGGCGCGUAGGCGGCCGAUCAAGUCGGGGGUGAAAGCCUGUGGCUCAACCACAGAAUUGCCUUCGAUACUGUUUAGCUUGAGACCGGAAGAGGUUAGUGGAACUGCGAGUGUAGAGGUGAAAUUCGUAGAUAUUCGCAAGAACACCAGUGGCGAAGGCGGCUGACUGGUCCGGUUCUGACGCUGAGGCGCGAAAGCGUGGGGAGCAAACAGG
rnacentral:rRNA from 1 species